rnacentral:hammerhead_ribozyme from 1 species
AUCCAGCUGACGAGUCCCAAACAGGACGAAACGCGAGUCAAACUGGAU